GUGAGUAUAGUAUAGAGGUUAGUAUAGCUCGUUGUGGUUUCCGCAAUUCCGAGCAGACGCAGGUUCGAUUCCUGCUACUCACA
rfam:Wallemia sebi CBS 633.66 unplaced genomic scaffold WALSEscaffold_9, whole genome shotgun sequence.